CCUACGGGUGGCUGCAGUGGGGAAUAUUGCACAAUGGGGGAAACCCUGAUGCAGCGACGCCGCGUGAGUGAAGAAGUAUUUCGGUAUGUACAGCUCUGUCAGCAGGGAAGAAAAUGACGGUACCUGACCAAGAAGCCCCGGCUAACUACGUGCCAGCAGCCGCGGUAAUACGUAGGGGGCAAGCGUUAUCCGGAUUUACUGGGUGUAAAGGGAGCGUAGACGGCAGGGCAAGUCUGGAGUGAAAGGCCGGGGCUCAACCCCCGGACUGCUUUGGAAACUGUCAGGCUGGAGUGCAGGAGGGGUAAGUGGAAUUCCUAGGGGAGCGGUGAAAUGCGUAGAUAUUAGGAGGAACACCAGUGGCGAAGGCGGCUUACUGGACUGUAACUGACGUGGAGGCUCGAAAGCGUGGGGAGCAAACAGGAUUAGAUACCCGAGUAGUC
rnacentral:rRNA from 1 species